rnacentral:lncRNA from 1 species
CGACUUUCUGAAGGAACCCUUCUCCAUCAGCGAUGUGGACGUGUUCCGACAUUAUGACCAUAGCAGUGCUUCUGAAAUAUUGUGAUAUAAAAGAACGACUCACAGGUCUUCCUCCCAGUCCCAGUGAAGUCGCACUCUCACUUCGUAUUCAGCUUCAGAAUCACCAGCUGUAGAAGACUUUGCUCCAUCUUCUUUGCCAAGUCUUUGCUGUUGAAAGUUACUGCUUACAAUACCAUCAACUAUAUCUCAAUGUAUGUUUGAUUAUACCAUGUAUCUUUCCUCUUUGUAUUACAAACAGGCUCCAUAUGUAAUAGAUAAUGAUAAAAUAAAUAAAUGAAAUGAAAUAAAAAAUUAAAAAAA